UUACGGUCAUAUCAAGUUGAAACACCAGUUCUUGUACGAUCACCGAAGUUAAGCAACGUCGGGCAUGGUCAGUACCUAGAUAGGUGAUUGCUUGGGAAUACCUG